UUCAAGUUCAUUAACCAGAUUGGAGAGUUUGUUGCCAUUCUUCUUCAUUAAUUCUUAAGAGACAGAAAUGAUUCAUACAGUUCCUCAAGAAUGGUUGCGUUUUCAGGAAUCUUACCUCUUGUAAAGGGAAUUUCUCUUAAUAUAAUAGGCCUAGUCGUUAUAAUGAUACCAAACAUGACACUGUCUCGAGGAUAUUCAGUCAAACCAUAAUUUUUAGGGGUUAGCCUACAUCGAAGCUGAACGCGAGAAAGAGGCAACCAACAGUGAAGACGACGGCUCCGUACAAAACGAGAAAACAUUAUUGCCGCACAAUUUUGAACCUUGGCGUCCAGGAGACCGGGAAAAGGCGAAGAGGAAGAUUUACAGCGAUCCGCAAGAGACGGAGAUGUGGUCUGAGGAGAAUUUACAGGCGAGUUGGACGAAUUUGUUGGCACUACGACCUGAGAGUGAAGAACAGACCCAGCCGUGUUAGGAGGAGAAGCGGACCGCACGCACCCCGCCAUCGCUGAGAAUGAGGACAGACCCUGUACCACACAGCGAGCGCUGGACUCGGGCCGAGACUGAGGGGAUGCAGAGCGACAGAGAA